ensembl:lncRNA
GCUUUCCACCUGGCUACCCCUACCCCGGUCAACAGCCCUGCACCACCCACACUUGGCCAAGCCUACCCCAUUUCUCCUUCACCCAAAUCCAGAUAGCUGAUGUUCUGAAAGAGCUGCAAAAUCUGGACCCCUAUACAUCAGCCGGGCUAGACAAUCUGGAACCUCUCUUUCUAAAAUUAUCUGCCGAAAUUGUUACUACCCCUAUUACUAGCCUGUUCAACCUCUCUUUCCUAUCGUCUGAGAUUCCCAUAGAUUGGAAAGCUGCCACAGUCAUCCCCUUCUUCAAAGGGGGAGACACUCUAGACCCAAACUGCUACAGACCUAUAUCUAUCCUACCCUGCCUUUCUAAGGUCUUUGGAAGCCAAGUUAACAAACAGAUCACCGGGCCUCCUGGGUGGUGCAGUGAUUAAGGGCGCUGUACUGCAACGCCAACUGUGCCACCAUAGACUCUGGGUUCGCGUCCAGGCUCUGUCGUAACCGGCCGCGACCGGGAGGUCCGUGGGGCGACGCACAAUUGGCCUAGUGUCGUCUGGGUUAGGGAGGGUUUGGCCCGUAAGGGAGUUGUAGCGAUGAGACAAGACAGUAGCUACUAAACAAUUGGAUUACACAAAAUUGGGUAGAAUUUAAAAAAAAAAAAAAACAGAUCACUGACCAUUUCAAAUCCCUCCGCUAUACAAUCUGGUUUCCGAGCUGGUCAUCCGUGCACCUCAGUCACACUCAAUGUCCUAAAUGAUAUCAUGACCGCCAGCCGUAUUCAUCGACCUGGCCAAGGCUUUCAACUCUGUCAAUCACCACAUUCUUAUUGGCAGACUCAACAGCCUUGGUUUCUCAAAUGACUGCCUCACCUGGUUCACCAACUACUUUUCAGACAGAGUUCAGUGUGUCAAAUCGGAGGGCCUGUUGUCCAGACCUCUGGCAGUCUCUAUGGGGUGCCACAGGGUUCAAUUCUCAGGCCAACUCUCUUCUCUGUAUACAUCAAUGAUGUCGCUCUUGCUGCUGGUGAUUCUCUGAUCCACCUCUAUGCAGACAACACCAUUCUGUAUACUUCUGACCCUUCUUUGGACACUGUGGUAACUAACCUCCAGACAAGCUUUAAUGCCAUACAACACUCAUUCCGUGGCCUCCAACUGCUGUUAAAUUCAAGUAAAACUAAGCGCUUGCUCUUCAACUGAUUGCUUCCCGUUCAGCAUCACUACUCUGGACAGUUCUGACUUAUAAUAUGUGGACAACUACAAAUACCUAGGUGUCUGGUUAGACUGUAAACUCUCUUUCCAGACUCACAUUAAGCAUCUCCAAUCCAGAAAUUAAAUCUAGAAUCGGCUUCCUAUUUCGCAACAAAGCCUCCUUCACUCAUGCUGCCAAACAUACCCUCGUAAAACUGACUAUCCUAC